GUCCAUGCCGUAAACGUUGGGCGCUAGGUGUGGGACUCAUUCCACGAGUUCCGUGCCGUAGCUAACGCAUUAAGCGCCCCGCCUGGGGAGUACGGCCGCAAGGCUAAAACUCAAAGGAAUUGACGGGGGCCCGCACAAGCGGCGGAGCAUGCGGAUUAAUUCGAUGCAACGCGAAGAACCUUACCAAGGCUUGACAUACACCGGAAUGUGCCAGAGAUGGUGCAGCCUUUGGGCUGGUGUACAGGUGGUGCAUGGUUGUCGUCAGCUCGUGUCGUGAGAUGUUGGGUUAAGUCCCGCAACGAGCGCAACCCUCGUUCCAUGUUGCCAGCACUUCGGGUGGGGACUCAUGGGAGACUGCCGGGGUCAACUCGGAGGAAGGUGGGGAUGACGUCAAAUCAUCAUGCCCCUUAUGUCUUGGGCUUCACGCAUGCUACAAUGGCUGGUACAGAGGGUUGCGAUGCCGUGAGGUGGAGCGAAUCCCUUAAAACUGGUCUCAGUUCGGAUUGGGGUCUGCAACUCGACCCCAUGAAGUUGGAGUCGCUAGUAAUCGCAGAUCAGCAACGCUGCGGUGAAUACGUUCCCGGGCCUUGUACACACCGCCCGUCAAGUCACGAAAGUCGGUAACACCCGAAGCCGGUGGCCCAACCCUUGUGGGGGGAGCCGUCGAAGGUGGGAUUGGCGAUUGGGACUAAGUCGUAACAAGGUAGCCGUACCGGAAGG
rnacentral:rRNA from 1 species